GCCUAGUUAGCUUAGUUGGUAGAGCGUCUGCCUUGUAAGCGCUAGGCCGCGGGUUCGAUUUUCCGCCCCGGGCG
rfam:Asian citrus Psyllid, Diaphorina citri - Florida Strain, whole genome shotgun sequence.